GUGAAUCAUCAAAUUUUUGAACGCAAAUUGCGCCUUUUUCGGAAGGCAUGUCUGUUUGAGGGCACCAUUUAACAAAUAAUGUGCAGCGUUUUGUGUAUAUAUGACGUGCACACGUUGAUGAGCUUUCCAAGAAUUUUAAAUUUUUGGUGGCGCAUAAUGAACAGCGUGAAAGUCUUUUUCAUUUCGAGUGUAGUAAAAUCUUUUCUUGGGUUGUGAAAAAACAUAAUCGCACAAAGGGGUUGGCAAUUUCUGUUUAUCCCUGCCCCAAUGCCA
rnacentral:misc_RNA from 1 species